CAUAGGUUAAUGAGGCGAACCGGGGGAACUGAAACAUCUAAGUACCCCGAGGAAAAGAAAUCAACCGAGAUUCCCCCAGUAGCGGCGAGCGAACGGGGAGGAGCCCAGAGCCUGAAUCAGUGUGUGUGUUAGUGGAAGCGUCUGGAAAGGCGCGCGAUACAGGGUGACAGCCCCGUACACAAAAAUGCACAUGCUGUGAGCUCGAUGAGUAGGGCGGGACACGUGGUAUCCUGUCUGAAUAUGGGGGGACCAUCCUCCAAGGCUAAAUACUCCUGACUGACCGAUAGUGAACCAGUACCGUGAGGGAAAGGCGAAAAGAACCCCGGCGAGGGGAGUGAAAAAGAACCUGAAACCGUGUACGUACAAGCAGUGGGAGCCUCUUAAUGGGGUGACUGCGUACCUUUUGUAUAAUGGGUCAGCGACUUAUAUUCUGUAGCAAGGUUAACCGAAUAGGGGAGCCGAAGGGAAACCGAGUCUUAACUGGGCGUUAAGUUGCAGGGUAUAGACCCGAAACCCGGUGAUCUAGCCAUGGGCAGGUUGAAGGUUGGGUAACACUAACUGGAGGACCGAACCGACUAAUGUUGAAAAAUUAGCGGAUGACUUGUGGCUGGGGGUGAAAGGCCAAUCAAACCGGGAGAUAGCUGGUUCUCCCCGAAAGCUAUUUAGGUAGCGCCUCGUGAAUUCAUCUCCGGGGGUAGAGCACUGUUUCGGCAAGGGGGUCAUCCCGACUUACCAACCCGAUGCAAACUGCGAAUACCGGAGAAUGUUAUCACGGGAGACACACGGCGGGUGCUAACGUCCGUCGUGAAGAGGGAAACAACCCAGACCGCCAGCUAAGGUCCCAAAGUCAUGGUUAAGUGGGAAACGAUGUGGGAAGGCCCAGACAGCCAGGAUGUUGGCUUAGAAGCAGCCAUCAUUUAAAGAAAGCGUAAUA
rnacentral:rRNA from 1 species